ACCUGCAAGAGAGUUUCGUUUCUUCCCUCUCAGUCUCUAAAUAUGUUGUUUCUUUUGUUCCUUUAUUAGCAAGGCUGAGGCUUCAGUUCAACUCGCAACAGAAGUGCUGAUAACUGGACAUCAGAGUCUCAUUUCCAAACUGUACUUCCUCUGCUUUAGGUGUGAUAUUUGCUGUGGAUUAUUUUUGUAGAUAUUCUACAACAACACUUAGGGCUUCUGGGUUACAGAAGAGAUCCCUGGUGACAGUCAUCAGGCCCUGUGAUGAGAAAAACCGUGCUACACAGCCUCAGUGUCCCACGGAACACAGAGCCCAGAGCUUGAUGAAGAGAGAGAGGGACGGGAUCACGGGGUGAGUGUGCAGGACACCUCCCAGGCAUUCUCCUGGGGACCCACUUCCUCCCUGUCCUCCAGCUGUCUCCCUGGCCGGGGCUUCCACUGACUUCUAGGUGUGGCUUCUCUGCCUAUCAUCCUUGGCAGCUGUGGCCUGGCUCCCAGGGAAGCUGGCGUGGUCUCCUGGGCCUCAGGAGCUGAGGGGGGUCACUCCGACCUCUUCACUCACACGCAGGCUCAAGGUGGCCUUUGCUAAUUUCUAAACGACCAUUUGGAGCGUCACUUCCUUCAAGUGUGGCAUCCUCUAGAAGCCUUUGCCGGCUCUGAGCUGGCUCUGGAGCAGCCCAAUUGCAGGAGGGCUCCCUGCCCCACACUGGGUCACCAUCAUCCUGAAAGAGACUAUUUCAGGCUUUGAAUGUGUGUCUUCAUUGCAGAGGGGCAAAGGGGCCGCUCCGCUUGCUCUGUUCAGAGCCUCCAGGGACUCACAUAGGGACCAGGAGGAAAUCUCAGCCUCUUAGGCCAAUUCUAAGUCUCCUUCCGAUGUGCCACAGAAGCUCAACAAUUGCACUACACAGAAAAAAUAAAUAAACCUCUGUGAUGGACGCCCAUGCCAAAUCUCUUGCUCACUCCUGAACCCUAAUGUGGAGGCUGGGAGCUGCAAAAGUUAAAUAGCUCAUUCCCAGGUCCACCUGCCUCUGGGACGCUCCAAAACACAUCAUCAAAAAAUGCCGAGGAAAAAUACAGUGCACAGCUUUUGUAAAAACUUAUGAAUUUUAUAUAAGUCAGAGGAGUUGAGGCUCUUGCUCCAUCUUUCUCUUGGACUCUCUUCCUGUCUAGAAUGUGGGUGUGACUGCUGGAGCUGCAGUCAGCAUUUUAAAACCAACAGGAAAAGUCCAAUAGUUAUAGAUAUUGAGGCCCUGACAUUGUGCACUUCCAAUUUAUAUAUUGUGUGAUAGACACAGACCCAAUUGGUCUGGGCUACCAUUAUUUCAAUGUAUUUUUACUUGCAGUUGAAAGCAUUCCUAACUAGUGCUAAGUAUCUCCUUGGCAUACUUGGUUGGCAGUUACAAAGGAAUGGCAACGUCAAUGGUAACAUUCAUACAACGAAUGUUCUUCUUUGUUCAUUUAAUAAUCCAACUGAUGUUUACUGAGCACCUACUAGGUGGCAUCCCUGUUCCAGGUGAAGAGGGGACCUCAGUGGAUACAUCAAUGGAGCGCCCACAGUAAAGUGAAGACCAAGAUCAGGCAGACAAGCAGGAUCUCUUCUGUGACAGAGGAGCAUGCUGGGAAACAGGGCAGAGCUAGGGUUGAGUGAGGGGCGUGCAAAAUCCCAGGGUCCCUGCGAGGAGGUCACAAGAGCAACUUUGGAUGAUGUUCAGAGAAAUGGUCCUUGAGGAGUAGCAUUCUACCUGGGACCUGAAUGACAAGGCAGAGUCAGCCACGUGGAGACCCUAAGGGACCACGGGAGUGGAGUGACCAUUACAAACACAGAUAAAUGGAAACAGGUGUGGUCAGCAGGGUCCUGGGCAGGGGCACAGCCCAGCCAAUGAGAGGCAAGUGGAAGGGGUGAGGCCGGGGUUGGCAGGAGCUGGACCCUGGGAGGGCUUACAAAGACCAUAGUGAGGCGUUGGAUGUGGUUUUGCGACAUGGGCUCUGUUCAUUUCAGAUUUGGCCUUUUGUCCUCAAUCCUCAGAGACCCCUCACUGUCUGGUGAUGGAGUCGGUCAGGACCCGCCAAGGUUAGGUUCCACAGAGCCACAGGCCCCUGGCUACUGAUCCAUCCCCUGGGCCUGCCACUGGCCCAGUAUGAAAAGAAACAUGGAUUCAAAAGCGUCUGCCAGUGCGGACUAGUUAGUAGCUCGUGGAGACUCAGAGCUCAGAAAAUAAACCCAACCUGACGGACUGGGCCGAAUUUUAACUGCGGAAUCCCAGGCAAACCUCACAGCCUCCUCGGGCCUCAGAAGUAAAGAGACGGACCUCCCAGGCAGGAGGACUGAGGGCUAAUGUAAGGACACUCCACUGGGGCCCCUGCUGUGCGGGGGACAAGUUACAACUUACAACAUUAUUAAAUACUGUGGUCUUGGCUA